rnacentral:sRNA from 1 species
CUCACGCAGCCCGACUUGAACGGAAAUCCUUUUUGCGUAAACUUUUAGUUCUAUUUAAACUGAAAUCUUCUGCAAAAAAGAUUGGGAGUGGAAGGCGGAAAUAGCU